AACAACGAUGCCAUGAAAUAUUC
rnacentral:siRNA from 1 species